rnacentral:misc_RNA from 1 species
UUAAGUUCAGCGGGUAUCCCUACCUGAUCCGAGGUCAACCUUAAAAGAGGGGGGGUUUUGGCAAGUAACCACCCGGACCCUAUAGCGAGAAAAAUUACUACGCUUAGAGCCAGAUGGCACCGCCACUAAUUUUAAGGGCCGAGAAACCUCGCACCCCAAUACCAAGCCGAGGCUUGAGUGGUUAUAAUGACGCUCGAACA